UUAAGAUAGUAAGAGCAUACGGUGGAUGCCUUGGCGAUAUCUGCCGAUGAAGGACGCGACAAGCUGCGAAAAGCUGCGGUGAGGUGCAAAUGACCUUUGACCCGCAGAUGUCCGAAUGGAGCAAUCCGGCUGUGGUUAUGCACAGUCACCCAUGCCUGUGAGUAUGGGAGGGAACCAGGCGAACUGAAACAUCUAAGUAGCCUGAGGAGAAGUAAUCAAACGAGAUACCCCCCAGUAGCGGCGAGCGAACGGGGCAGAAGCCCAAACCGCAGAAGGAAACUUUUACGGGGUUGAGGGCCGUCAUACGAACGUGGAAUCCAGCUGAAGCUUCUGGGAAGGAGCGCCGCAGGAUGUGAAAGCCAUGUAAGCGAAAGAGGAAGCGGAACAGACGGUACCAGAGUACCGCGGGACACGAGAAACCCCGUGGGAAGCAGGGGGGACCACCCUCCAAGGCAAAACACAGAUAUCGACCGAUAGCGCAUAGUACCAUGAGGGAAAGGUGAAAAGCACCCCGGGAGGGGAAUGAAACAGAACCUGAAACCGUAUGUUUACAAGCAGUCGGAGACCGUAUAUAUAUCAGGUCGACGGCGUGCCUAUUGAAGAAUGAACCGGCGAGUUAUGAGGUCCAGCGAGGUUAAGCAGGAAAUGCGGAGCCGAAGCGAAAGCGAGUCUUAACAGGGCGAGUAGUUGGACUGCAUAGACCCGAAACCACAGUGAUCUACCCAUGUCCAGGUUGAAGCACAGGUAAAAAUGUGUGGAGGACCGAACCUAUAUCCGUUGAAAAGGGUUAGGAUGAGGUGUGGGUAGGGGUGAAAUUCCAAUCGAACGUGGAGAUAGCUGGUUCUCCCCGAAAUAGCUUUAGGGCUAGCCUCAGGGUAAAGAUUGCAGGCGGUAGAGCACUGAUCAGGAGAGGGACCUACCCGGUUACCAAACCCAGUCAAACUACGAAUGGCUGCAAUUAUACCUGGGAGUCAGACUACGACUUAUAAGGGCCGUGGUCAAAAGGGAAACAGCCCAGAUCAUCAGCUAAGGUCCCAAAUGCCGUGCUAAGUGGCGAAGGAUGUGGCGUUUCAUAAACAACCAGGAUGUUGGCUCAGAAGCAGCCACCAUUUAAAGAGUGCGUAAUAGCUCACUGGUCGAGAGACCCUGCGCCGAAGAUUCCCGGGGCUAAAGUACGAAACCGAAGCUGUGGCUGUAUACGUAAAGUAUACGGGGUAGGGGAGCGUUCCCAUAGGGUAGAAGUCGAACUGGAAGGUUCGGUGGACUUGUGGGAAGUGAGAAUGUUGGUAUGAGUAGCGAAAAGAAAGGUGAGAAUCCUUUCCACCGAAAGCAUAAGGAUUCCUGAGCAACGAUCGUCGUCUCAGGGUAAGUCGGGACCUAAUCCGAGGCAGAGAGCGUAGGAGAUGGACAACUGGUUGAUAUUCCAGUACCGGUAGUAAUUGUUUGAGCAAUGGAGUGACACAGAAGGGCAGGCAAGCAUGCGAAUGGAAGAGCAUGUGUAAGCGUGUAGGGUGGUGCAUAGGCAAAUCCGUGCACUGAAAGCCUGAGGCGUGAUGCGGAGUGAGCAGAGAUGCGAGCGAAGUUGUUGACCCCACACUGUCGAGAAAAGCUUCUAGUGAGAGAGCUACCGCCCGUACCGUAAACCGACACAGGUAGGCGGGGAGAGAAUCCUAAGGUGCGCGGGAAAACCCUCGUUAAGGAACUCGGCAAAUUGCAUCCGUAACUUCGGGAGAAGGAUGGCCCUGAGUAGGCGAAGUGCAGAAACGCACGGAACAGAAAAGGGUGGCAGAAAAGAGGCCCAAGCAACUGUUUACCAAAAACACAGGUGCCUGCGAAAGCGAAAGCUGAAGUAUAGGUGCUGACGCCUGCCCGGUGCUGGAAGGUUAAGGAGAGAGGUUAGCGCAAGCGAAGCUUUGAACUGAAGCCCCAGUGAACGGCGGCCGUAACUAUAACGGUCCUAAGGUAGCGAAAUUCCUUGUCAGGUAAG
rnacentral:rRNA from 1 species